rnacentral:lncRNA from 1 species
GUCUAAACCACUGGACCUCCAGGGAAAUCCCUCCAUUGGCUUUUGAGGGCUGCAGAAUUCUGUAAUCAUUUUCCCCUGAGUGACAUACAAUCUUUAACUUUCCUCUUUCAGGCUUGGAGACUUACAACUUAUGAUUGAGAUUUAACAAAUACUUAUUGAGUGCUUAAUGUAUGUGACUCCUGGGCUAGAUCUGUUCCCAUGUAAGUAAAAUCUUAAUAUUGUCAACGACCCUGUAAAGUACUCUAAUCCAUUUUUCAGGUGAGGAGGCUGAGGCUUGGAGGUGUCAAGCGGUGUUUUUAAUAAGUGGCAGAGCUGGAAUUUCAACCCAGGUGUUCUUAAUAAACGGCAAAGCUGAGAUUCAUGACCAGCACCAGGGGUAGCUUAUUCAUGGACUUCACGUGGGAUGAUCAAGAUUGACAUGAGAUGAGUCAGCAAGAGAGUCACUUCUUGAUGGUUGCCACUUUUAUCACAGCCAGACCUCGGAGGACAACCCUUUGAAAGCAGACAGGGUGAAUUCCUGGCCGGUCAAAUCAUUAGGUAGAAAUUUCCAUGGGUUCCCAUUUCCCGAGCCUGAAAAAGUGGCAAGAGCACUAGUUUCUGUUUUGAUUUGUUUUGCUUUCCCUGGAAGAUAACUCAGAAAUAUCUUCUUUAGUAGACUGCUGCCAACAAACCAAAUUCCACCAUGCAUAUUCUUGGCUUCAUUAAUUUUUUCCCAUUUAUUAAAAUAAUAUUUACUUGACCAUGUACCCAGCUCCUAGAAUGAUUCUAGUCUGCUUCCUCUAGGUAGGCUUUUUAAAAUGUAAAAAUAUGUUAAGAGAGGGGAUUCAGCUCUUAGAAAACUUUCUAAAAAUGCUAAAAACAAUGCAUAAGAAUAACAUUAGAAAAUGAGAUGGAUACUUAAGUUGAAAAAUAAAAACACCGGAGACAUGAAGGUGUGAGGUUUU